UUCCGGGGUUAGGGAGGGAGGCGAGCCGCAGACGGAUUCUGUGUUAGGACCGCGGCGAUCUAGGCCCUUCCCCGCGUGACGGAGACGGAGGCGCGAGGGGACACUGUCAUCUACCCCCCUUCUGGCCUAAUGGCCCCUUCCGACGCGCGGACCCCCGCUCCCGGGAUCGCUCCCUCCGGAGCCCAGUUGGGCUGGCCGGGGGCGGCAAUUUGGUCUGAUCUUCGUCUUAUUAAUUCGGAGCGACUGUGGGGAGGCCACUGAGAGAGGAGGCGGCCCCAGCGGAGGAGGCUUUGUGAUUCCUUGCUCCCUCCCGUCCUCCUGUCUCGAACCCACCUGCCCACCCACUACUCAGGACGCCGCUCUUUCGCGGGUUUUAUGCUGGAUGGAGGGGGCGCCGCCGAGGAAGCCAAGCCUCCCCCGCUAACUCUGCCUCUCCACGUCUUCAGGAAGAAGUUAUUCGUUCCAUGAAUUUAUUUAUCGAGUACACCCUUACACUAAGCACAGGGUGAGACUCUGGGAUUCAGACCUAAACAUAGACUCUUGGAGUAGUUUGAGGGAACAGUUUCACCACAGACACCACAUUCCAAUUCCUUGAGGGCUUGAAUUCUUGAAUACUCCAGACAAAAGUUUCCAGAAGACCGGGGACGGGCAGGCCAGGCCCUUUACUCCUGAGGAGAGGCCGUUCUAAGUGGUACAGCGGAGGUAUUAGCUA